ACCUAAAGAAUUUGGCGGUAAUUUAUUCUUUUCAGAGGAAUUUGCCCUUUAAUCGAUAAUCCUCGUUUUAUCUUACCUACUCUUGUUUAAUAGUAUGUAUACCGCCGUUAUAAGUUUAUUUUAUUAGAAUAUAAUUUACUUAAAAUAUUAUUUUAUUUUAUUUCAGGUCAAGGUGCAGUUUAUGAGUAGGAUGAAGGUGAAUUACAUUAUUUUUUUUUUGAAUAAAUGGAUUUAUUUUUUAAAAGUUUUAUUGAAAGUGGAUUUGAAAGUAAUAUUAUUUAUAGAGAUUAUUUGAUUUUAGUUCUAAAUUAAGCACACAUCGCCCGGUCGCU
rnacentral:rRNA from 1 species